GAUGAACGCUGGCGGCGUGCCUAACACAUGCAAGUCGAGCGAAGCACCUUACCUGAUUCUUCGGAUACGAGUUUGGUGACUGAGUGGCGGACGGGUGAGUAACGCGUGGGUAACAUGCGCUGUACAGGGGGAUAACAGCGGGAAUAGGCUGCUAAUACCGCAUAAGCGCACGUGGAGACAUCUCCUCGGGUGAAAAACUCCGGUGGGACAGGUUGGGCCCGCAUCUGAUAGGUGGGAAGGCAGGGGAACGGCCACCCAACGCAGCGUACAGCAGCCGGGCGCUGAGGCUGGGUCGCGACAUCGGAGCUGGGCCGCAGUCCAAACUCUUACGGGAUGCACCAGUGGGUAAUAGUGCACCAUGGCGUGAACCCUGAUGGAGCUACGCCGCGUGAGUGAAGAAGUUUGUCGGUAUGUAAAGCGCAAUCAGCAGUGAAGAUAUUGACGGUACCUGACUAAGAAGCCCCGGCUAAAUACGUG
rnacentral:rRNA from 1 species